rfam:Ictidomys tridecemlineatus contig069424, whole genome shotgun sequence.
UGGGAUGUAGCUCAGUGGUAGAGCACUUGCCUACCAUCUGUAAGGCCCUGGGUUUGAUUUCCAACAUCACAA